rnacentral:rRNA from 1 species
UACGUAGGGUGCAAGCGUUAAUCGGAAUUACUGGGCGUAAAGCGUGCGCAGGCGGCUUUGCAAGACAGAUGUGAAAUCCCCGGGCUCAACCUGGGAACUGCAUUUGUGACUGCAAGGCUAGAGUACGGUAGAGGGGGAUGGAAUUCCGCGUGUAGCAGUGAAAUGCGUAGAUAUGCGGAGGAACACCGAUGGCGAAGGCGGCCUUCUGGACAGUGACUGACGCUGAGACGCGAAAGCGUGGGGAGCAAACAGG